ACAUUUUCUGUAGCUUUGCCCGAAGAGAGAAGCUGUUUUCUCUCAGAGAUGGAACAUGUUAGCUGGUUGCCAUGAUGUCUUCAUUUGUCCAUCGCUGCCCCUCUGUGAGCAGGCAGCCAUCAGGACAGAGAGUGGCAUGCUGGACAGGCCGACUCUGACAAGGAGCAAGAUCUCCACGCCACUGCACACCAGCCUGAGAGACAGAGCACGACUCCAUCUCAAAGAAAAAACAAAAAAGAAAAGAAAAUGCAGAUCUCUGGGCCCCACCCAUACCUGGGGACUCAGAAUCACCAGGGCAAGGUCUCAUCCUUAUGCGUCACAUGUGUUUUGAGAUCUCAUUAUCUCCUGGGAGGCUGGAGUGCAGUGGUGUGAUCAUAGCUCACUGCAGUCUUGAACUCAUGGACUCAAGAGAUCCUUCCACCUCAGCUUCCCGAGCAGCUGGGACUACAGCUACGCAGACAUUGUGCUGGAAUUUCUAUGCUGAAGAAUUAAGCUAUAUUGUUUGGCAAAAGAAGAAACUGAAAACAAGAAAUCCAUCCCUUUCUACCACUGCUAUUAUAUCAUCCACGUUUAAAAAAAAAAAGUUUGUAUGUAGUUAUAUACAACAAGAAGUUUCUGCUUCGGAUUUCUCUGUUGGGCAGGGUGGUGGGAGGGAUGGGGUCUCGAGUUUUUCCCAAGUGAAAUCCUGGUAAUCCUGCCUGAGAGAAUUCUUAUGAAAGUUUCACUCACAAUGAAAGCAAACUUCCAAGGUGGAGGAGGGUGAAGCCGGCUGGCUGGACCGAUCACUGAGGCCCAGUGCUGCGAAGAGAGUUCAGCACAUUAUUCCAACCCUUUCUGGGAGCACGGCCCAGGCUUGGCACCGGUUUGGUGUUCUCGAGUGUGAUGCAUUCUGAAAACCUGGCUGCGUCCGUGGCCCAGCUCCAGUUCUGCAGGGCUCAGCAUCAGGCUGCCCCCUCUCCUAAGGUGUUUUGCAGGAUCGCCCCUCAGAGCUAAACACCCACCAGCUGACCACCUGUUCCAGGUGAUGGGAUUUUGGCUCAGAUCAGCCUGGAUCAGGGUGGACCUCUACAAGCUGGCUUGCAUGAAUGUAAAUGUCUGCUGCCCAUCUUGAAGACCAUCGGCAAGCUUUGGUGGGUUCAUAUUCAGUGGCAUUAGGGAUUAAGGCAAACUUAAAAUGAUUCUGAGUGUAAACAGAUACAGAUAUAAACUUUUGGGGGAACAAUUUGGUAAUAGCUAAUAACAAUCGUUAAAAUGUUUAUAUCCUUUGACCUGAUAGUGUUAGUUCUAAGAAUUUACCUUAAGAAAAUAAAUAAAUUUAUAUCCCAUGA